UAGGGUUUUGCCCAGUGGUAGAGUACGUGCUUAGCAUGCAUGAAAUCCUGGGUUCAAUCCCCAGUACCUCGA
rnacentral:tRNA from 1 species